UGGCAUAACUUACACACUGUUCUACUAUC
rnacentral:piRNA from 1 species